CGCUUCUAACCGUCCUUAAGCUGGACAACUUACUUUGACAUCUGACCUCAAAUCAGGUAGGACUACCCGCUGAACUUAA
rnacentral:rRNA from 1 species